rnacentral:rRNA from 1 species
ACAGAGGGCCCGAGCGUUAGUCGGAAUUACUGGGCUUAAAGGGUGCGCAGGCGGAUCGGCAGGCAUCUUGUGAAAUCCCCCGGCUCAACCGGGGAAUUGCGGGGUGAACCGCCGGUCUUGAGGCAGGUAGAGGCAAGUGGAAUUCCGGGUGUAGUGGUGAAAUGCGUAGAGAUCCGGAGGAACCCCGGUGGCGAAGGCGACUUGCUGGGCCUGAACUGACGCUCAGACGCGAAAGCAUGGGGAGCGAACGG